AGUGAACGCUGGCGGUAGGCCUAACACAUGCAAGUCGAACGGCAGCACAGUAAGAGCUUGCUCUUACGGGUGGCGAGUGGCGGACGGGUGAGGAAUACAUCGGAAUCUACUUUUUCGUGGGGGAUAACGUGGGGAAACUUACGCUAAUACCGCAUACGACCUACGGGUGAAAGCAGGGGAUCUUCGGACCUUGCGCGAUUGAAUGAGCCGAUGUCGGAUUAGCUAGUUGGCGGGGUAAAGGCCCACCAAGGCGACGAUCCGUAGCUGGUCUGAGAGGAUGAUCAGCCACACUGGAACUGAGACACGGUCCAGACUCCUACGGGAGGCAGCAGUGGGGAAUAUUGGACAAUGGGCGCAAGCCUGAUCCAGCCAUACCGCGUGGGUGAAGAAGGCCUUCGGGUUGUAAAGCCCUUUUGUUGGGAAAGAAAAGCAGCAGGUUAAUACCCCGCUGUUCUGACGGUACCCAAAGAAUAAGCACCGGCUAACUUCG
rnacentral:rRNA from 1 species